CAUUAGAUUACAUUUAUUAUAUAAAGAGAUCCUAUUACUUGAUAUGAAAAAGAAAGUAACUCCCAAUAGGUGUUACAAGGGCAAAGGACAUGAACAUUUGAUUAAAGGGGAAACACAGCUACUCAAAAACCACAAAUAUUUAACCUCAUCAAUCAAGGAAAUAAUUGGGAUGCUAUUUCUUGCUUAUUCAAUGCACAAAUAGCAAUUUCUACUUUUUCUAUUUCCUAAAUAUACUCAAACGUGCUAUUUUCGGUGAUAAAUUGAGUCAUUAAGAAACAGGAAGUGUGAAAUUUUCUGCCAAUGCAGAAAUCAUAAAAACAUUAAAAUGAAUCAACACCUGUACGGGCAGUAUGGUUCAGAUCCCUUGAAACCAAUUCCUUUUUGUCCUGGUUCCUGAGUUUUAUUAUGAGAUUGUCAAUAAAGAGAAGGUUGUUCCUGAUUUACACAAUGACAAUCUCCUGGUAUAGGAAUACAAAUAUAUAUGCAUGUAAAUGUACAUAUAUAAUUUUUUCUUCAGGUAGACAAUUAUUCCAGGAAAGUACCUUUUCAGAAUCACUCACUUUCGAGGACUGCUGUGAUUCCAUUUGCUGAUAAGUUCCCAUUAGAUCUCCUCAUGUGGUUCUCGACCAGUAGGGAUGUGCUUGGUAUUGAAAAGGCUGCCUAGACUUUCUAUAGCUGCCUCCUUAAGGAAUCUGAAAUUGGUCCUGUGCUUUAGACAUAGCCAAAACAUCUUUCUGAUUGGAUACAAAACAGCACAUAGCCUUGAGGCAGAUCACACAAAGCUCAGGAUGCACAAGGGCUGGAGCAGCACAGGGCAAUCACUUCAAAUUAGAUAGUCAUGUUAGAAAGACUAAGUUGGGAGACUGAAGUUAAAAUCCUAUAUAGCUUUAUUCAACAUAUAUCUUUGCCUUUUUCAUAUCAUAAGUUUUACUGAACAAAAAGGUGGAAAUAACAAUUCAGUCAAAUGACAAAUUUGGUGGUCAAUUUAAUGUUGUAUCCCUUAUCUAUAUCAAUUCAUUAAGACUACAUAUAGACAUUUAUUCUCUAGUACUGAAUUCCCAUUUGAAUAAAAAUAGCUGCUGGGUAGAAGAAAAGAAUUUAAAUUUAAAAACAACUGCACUAUAACUGAAGUACCAAUCGAAUUUAAAAUUAUAUAAGUGUAUGCAUGUGCAUGUAUGCACAUGUAUUUUUUUUCUCUCCCUCUCCCUAGAAAGAGAUAUGAAUCCCUGAUUUAGGGUUAUAAUAUUUUUUUGAGUAAAUAUUUUUGAAUUUAUUAUUUCUCCAGUCUACUAAUAAUCUCCACAUAUACUUUUGUCUUUUUUGAAUUUUUAGGGCUGCACCUGCAGCACAUGGAAGCUCCCAGGCUAGGGGAUGAAUUGGAGCUGUAGCCACCGGCCUACACCACAGCCACAGCAACUUGGGAUCCGAGCUGCAUCUGCGACCUACACCACAGCUCACAGCAACGCUGGAUCCUUGACCCACUGAACAAGGCCAAGGAUCAAACCUGCACCCUCAUGGAUGCUAGUCAGGUUUGUUAACCACUGAGCUAUGAGAGGGACUCUUCUCCAAGUACUCUGAAUGUACCUACACAAUCUGGGGAGUUGGCAGCUGUCAAAAACUCCAUGAAAAAAGGGAGGUAGCUAUUAAGACUUGGAGACGUUUUCUGCUUAUUAUUUUAGAUUAGGGCAAGCAGCCUCCCUUUGAUGUUUUGACAUAAAAGAUGAAAACUUAGCAUCUUUGAAGCAUAAUAAACAUAAUUAUAUACACUUACUACCAUCACCUAAACUUUGACUUACACAACACCACAAAAAGACAUCUAACAAACACUGUUCUACUUAUCUUUUUACAUUUGCUAAAACAGCUAUGUUGAAUACAUUUUUAAAAUGCAUUGUUAACCAUUUGAUAAACAUACUAAGCCAAACAAUACAAAUUACAUCAAUUACCUCUUUAAUCUAAUAACUGUACCAAUCACUGUAAGAAGAUACAACUGAAGUGGAAGUAUGGGAUCAUCCAUGAUGCACUGCAAAAGUAUUACAGCUUGGUCCUAAGAAUGAUCUGAAGGUGCUGAUAGAGGUGAUUCUCUAGAAGGUGAUCCAGGGUUUUCUUCAGGUGGAAAAACUGUGAGAGUACAAGCUCGAAUGCCACCAAGUGAUUCUGGAAGAUCAAAAACUUUAUGCCACUCAUCCUUUUCUGGGUCGUAUUUUUGGACAAUUUCCACCAUACAACGAUUAUUCCAAGAAUAUCCACCUACAACAUAGAUUUUAUUUUCAAAGACGGCAACUCCAACAUCACUCUGGCCUCUUAACAUGGCAGCAAUUGGUGUCCACUGGUCAAGGGUUGGUGAAUAGUAUUCACAGCUUAGAACAUCAUCAUAAUCACUUGUUCCUCUGAAGUGAUUGCCACCAAUGACAUAGAGCUUAUCUCCAACUGUACACAUGCAGUGCAGACCUCUGACUGUAGUCAUUGGAGCCUUCUGUGUCCAUUUGUCCGUAUCAGGGUCAAAACACAUGAGCUCGUUUUGGAAAGUGUCAUGAGUAAUUCCUCCUGAAAUAUACAUUAAGCCUCCAUAUACUGUUCCAGCAUGGCCAUAGUGGGGUUCAUUCAUUUUUGCAACAUAGCUCCACUCAUUCAUUCUUGGAUUGUAACAUUCUACUGUGGCCAAUUCACCAGCUGCACUUCGCCCACCAACAGCAUACAAAUGCCCUUUCAGAGCACUUAAGUGGAAAAAUGUGCGCUUUUCAUUUAAUGAUGCAACCUGCAUCCAUUUAUUAUACCGGGGAUCAAAUCUGAAAACUGUAUCAACAGCAGUUUUUCCUUUUGUAUCAUAAUUACUUUGACCACCAACAACAUAAAGAAAGUUUCCAAUGACAGCAAUGCCAUGCUGGUAACGAGGAGCAUCCAUGGGGGCUAAAGACCUCCACUCUUGAGCUCUUUCAUCAUACAUCCGUAAUUCUUUACUGACAACCAGCUGCUGCCUCAAAACUCCUCCUAAUGUAACCAAGUGGGUAGAGUCAGAUCUAAUGGCAGUUCUAUCUGACUGCAUCACUGGCUGCAUAUAUGGCAUCAUUUGGUAAUUGCUAGCUUCCAAAAGCAAAUUCACACAAGUAUUGUCUGUUCUCAUGAAAUCUACUGUCUGCACAUAAUUGAUGAGAUCCUGUGGUGUCAUCAGUGGAAAUCGAAUGUUCUUCAUUAAUUUUGCAGCAUAAUCCAUCCGAGGGUCUUCCAACCUUAGCCAGCGACACGCAGCCUUGAAAAGCUCAAGUUCAGUACAGUGCUUAAGACUGUUGCUGGAAAGCACAAAGGCAAGCCGUUCAAAAGGGAGUUUUAGAAACUCCCCAGUACUCAAUAAUGCAGGAAAAUUCUUCAGGAUGAAAUUAUUGACAUAUUUAUCUACUUCUAUAAGAUUGUAGGUGUUAGCAAUUCGUCCAACUUCAACACAGUUAUCUAAAGAGACUCCUGAAAUAAGAAACACUUUACAGAAGUCCAAAACAGGUAGAAUUUGCAAAAAGCUGGCAGCUUCAAGUGUGUCCUGAAGAUUGUCCAUAUUAAGAGAAAGUUUUGCAGUAUAAAUAAAAUCAAUUAUUUUCUUCAGACCAACUUUGUUCACACCAUGAAGCUUAAUGCACAUUAAAUCUUGUUCUUUCAUUCCACCUGUGAACAUAGCCUUGAAAUAAUCACUAGCAGACGCCAUCAUAGCUCGAUGAACAGGGAAGAUUUCAUCUCCAUCACCUGGUACCAGAGUCACAUCACAAAGCAAUCCUUCUAUUCUAAGCUGAUCAAAGCCUUGCAAUACCACCGAACUGUGAGUAUUGCUGGUAAAAAACCGUGUGGUUCCUGUCUUGCAAGGCUGUAAAUGGGCAGAGACGCCCAUUUCACCGUUACCAAGAGACACUUUCAUGUGAAAGCCUUCCUGUUGCACAAAGAUGUAUGCCGGACAAGGAGGUUACGACCUGCAAGCUUUAAAGGAACCGAGGAUGUCCCAAGAGCAAGAGAGCUCGCGUUCCUUAUCCACAAGGGCAAACAAUCGCCGUGGCGCCUCUCAGAACACACCAGCCAUACACUGAAUAUUGUUCUGCAGCAGGACCACAAAGGGCUGUGGACCUCAAAUCUGAUUAUUAUGUAGAUGAUUCAACACCUGAAAGCAGUUAAGUGACCCGGUUCACCUCGUCCGGCCUGUGCUGCCGCUCCUCCUGCAGUUCCGCUGCCGGCAAAGGGGGAGGUGCCGCCACGUCCUGCGGUUCCACGGCUCGCUCGGCGGCGAGGCCGGGCACCUCAGCGAGCAGCCCGCUUCGCCCUCUACUAACCCUGGUGCGUCGCCACGGCUACGGACCCGUCUUUGAGCAGGGGCCUGGAACAGCGGCCUGGGCCUGGGAAACGGGCCGAGCCCCGGGACGCGGAGCCGCUCCUUCCGGAAAG
ensembl:lncRNA